AGCGAACGCUGGCGGCAGGCUUAACACAUGCAAGUCGAACGCUCGUAGCAAUACGGGAGUGGCAGACGGGUGAGUAACGCGUGGGAAUAUGCCUUUUGGUUCGGAAUAACUCAGGGAAACUUGAGCUAAUACCGGAUAAGCCCGUGAGGGGAAAGAUUUAUCGCCAAAAGAUUAGCCCGCGUCCGAUUAGCUAGUUGGUGAGGUAAUGGCUCACCAAGGCGACGAUCGGUAGCUGGUCUGAGAGGAUGAUCAGCCACAUUGGGACUGAGACACGGCCCAAACUCCGACGGGAGGCAGCAGUGGGGAAUAUUGGACAAUGGGCGCAAGCCUGAUCCAGCCACGCCGCGUGAGUGAUGAAGGCCUUAGGGUUGUAAAGCUCUUUUGUCCGGGAAGAUAAUGACGGUACCGGAAGAAUAAGCCCCGGCUAACUUCGUGCCAGCCGCCGCGGUAA
rnacentral:rRNA from 1 species